AAUCGCGCCUAUCAAGGCGCUUGAUUCUGGCGCGGGACUUAAAAUCCCCCGCUCGUAAGUGCGUGCCGGUUCGAUUCCGGCUUCGGGCACCA
rnacentral:tRNA from 1 species